AUUCAACUGACGAGUCCCGAAUAGGACGAAACACGAGUCCCGGAU
rfam:Schistosoma mattheei strain Denwood, Zambia genome assembly, scaffold: SMTD_scaffold0006016